rnacentral:rRNA from 1 species
AGAGUUUGAUCCUGGCUCAGAUUGAACGCUGGCGGCAUGCCUUACACAUGCAAGUCGAACGGUAACAGGUCUUCGGAUGCUGACGAGUGGCGAACGGGUGAGUAAUACAUCGGAACGUGCCCAGUAAUGGGGGAUAGCUCGGCGAAAGCCGGAUUAAUACUGCAUACGCCCUGAGGGGGAAAGUGGGGGAUCGCAAGACCUCACGUUAUUGGAGCGGCCGAUGGCUGAUUAGCUAGUUGGUAGGGUAAAGGCCUACCAAGGCGACGAUCAGUAGCUGGUCUGAGAGGACGAUCAGCCACACUGGGACUGAGACACGGCCCAGACUCCUACGGGAGGCAGCAGUGGGGAAUUUUGGACAAUGGGGGAAACCCUGAUCCAGCAAUGCCGCGUGUGCGAAGAAGGCCUUCGGGUUGUAA